AACGAACGCUGGCGGCGCGCUUAACACAUGCAAGUCGAACGAGAAGGCGUAGCAAUACGCUUGUACAGUGGCGAACGGGUGAGGAAUACAUGGGUAACCUACCCUCGAGUGGGGGAUAACCCGCCGAAAGGCGGGCUAAUACCGCGUACGCUUCCGAUCUUGCGGGAUUGGAAGGAAAGCUGUCCCUUGGGGAUGGCGCUCAAGGAUGGGCUCAUGUCCUAUCAGCUUGUUGGUAGGGUAACGGCCUACCAAGGCAUCGACGGGUAGCUGGUCUGAGAGGACGAUCAGCCACACUGGCACUGCGACACGGGCCAGACUCCUACGGGAGGCAGCAGUGAGGAAUAUUGCGCAAUGGGCGAAAGCCUGACGCAGCGACGCCGCGUGGGGGAUGAAGGUCUUCGGAUUGUAAACCCCGUUUCGGGAGGGAAGACGGCCUUAGACAACUAAGGCGGACGGUACCUCCAGAAGCAGCCACGGCUAACUUCGUGCCAGC
rnacentral:rRNA from 1 species